GAUCUGGCUCAGGAUGAACGCUGGCGGCGUGCCUAACACAUGCAAGUCGAACGAAGCGCCUUUUGAGAUUCUUCGGAUGAUUGAUUGGUGACUGAGUGGCGGACGGGUGAGUAACGCGUGGGUAACCUGCCCUGUACAGGGGGAUAACAGCUGGAAACGGCUGCUAAUACCGCAUAAGCGCACGAGGAGACAUCUCCUAGUGUGAAAAACUCCGGUGGUACAGGAUGGGCCCGCGU
rnacentral:rRNA from 1 species